GUAUGAUAUAGCAGCUGCAAGAGCCGUUGCAGAACUGAAAGUUCUAGCGGAAUACUGCCUUCCAUUGGUUCGUGUUGGUGGUUUGUUCAUAGCUGCAAAAGGUCAUGAUCCCCACGAAGAAAUAAAAGAUGCUAAAAGUGCUGUACAGAAAUUGGGUGCUUCCAUGCUCGAAUUGUGUAAUGGUAAAAUAUUCCUAUCCUUCCUUAAUGCUUAAUUGCUUAUAGAAGGCAUUGCACUAAAUAUGUUGUAAUCUGCAUAUAAGCAAUUUUACCCUCUCUUAACCUAAAUGUAGAAGUGCGAGUUUGUUCCCUUUCUGACUAAAUGGCAUCUUUCCCUUGUAAAGUUUCUCUGGAUUAGAUAAUACUGAUGAGUAGUCAUAUUUCUAUUUUGCAUAUUUUAAUGCCUGUUGCCAUUUCAGCAAACAAUUGCUAACCUGAUUCCUUUCUAAUUCUCAUGAAUAUAGUUAUGUUGCUUCUAUGUCUUGUGCAUCCAGCCUUUCAGGUUAUGAUAAGCAUAGAAUUCUUGGUAACAUGC